rnacentral:rRNA from 1 species
AACGAACGCUGGCGGCAGGCCUAACACAUGCAAGUCGAACGCACCGCAAGGUGAGUGGCGCACGGGUGAGUAACACGUGGGAAUGUAUCCUUUGGUUCGGAAUAACGUCUGGAAACGGACGCUAAUACCGUAUGAGCCCUUAGGGGGAAAGAUUUAUCGCCGAGGGAGCAGCCCGCGUCUGAUUAGGUAGUUGGUGGGGUAAAGGCCUACCAAGCCGACGAUCAGUAGCUGGUCUGAGAGGAUGAUCAGCCACACGGGACUGAGACACGGCCCAGACUCCUACGGGAGGCAGCAGUGGGGAAUAUUGGACAAUGGGCGCAAGCCUGAUCCAGCCAUGCCGCGUGAGUGAUGAAGGCCUUCGGGUUGUAAAGCUCUUUCGCACACGACGAUGAUGACGGUAGUGUGAGAAGAAGCCCCGGCUAACUUCGUGCCAGCAGCCGCGGUAACAC